rnacentral:rRNA from 1 species
GACGAACGCUGGCGGCGUGCCUAAUACAUGCAAGUCGAACGAGAGCGACCGGUGCUUGCACUGGUCAAUCUAGUGGCGAACGGGUGAGUAACACGUGGGUAACCUGCCCAUCAGAGGGGGAUAACAUUCGGAAACGGAUGCUAAAACCGCAUAGGUCUUCGAACCGCAUGGUUUGAAGAGGAAAAGAGGCGCAAGCUUCUGCUGAUGGAUGGACCCGCGGUGCAUUAGCUAGUUGGUGAGGUAACGGCUCACCAAGGCCGUGAUGCAGAGCCGACCGGAGGGGGGGGUCGGCCACAUUGGGACUGAGACACGGCCCAAACUCCUACGGGAGGCAGCAGUAGGGAAUCUUACGCAAUGGACGCAAGUCUGACGGAGCAACGCCGCGUGAGUGAAGAAGGUUUUCGGUUCGUAAAACUCUGUUGUUAGAGAAGAACAAGUGCUAGAGUAACUGUUAGCGCCUUGACGGUAUCUAACCAGAAAGCAACGGCUAACUACGUG